rnacentral:lncRNA from 1 species
CUCUAAGCAGGAAGCAGAGACAGGGACUCCCAUCACCUCUUCACCAAGAUAGAACGGAGACAUGGAAAGGCCAGGUUGAGAGGAAGAUGGGGCACUCACCAUUGGGAUGCGGCUGCGCUUGAGCACGGACCGCAGGCGACGGCUGAUGCGCCUGAAGCACUCGUGGGGUGUGAAGACAGGGUCCUCUGUGAAGACAGCACGUGGAGGAGGGUCUGGGCGAGCUCACGUCCCACCCACAGCCUAGCCACACCCACCAGGGAACCCCAUCCUGAGCCCAAGGUGACCAAAAAAUUUCACAGCCACAAGGCUCUGCACCUCUGUACUUUGGCCCCGCCCUCCAGCCAAGCCCCACCUCUCCGUCGGUCCUCCCCACGGCCAGGCCCACGUCUCCGCUUGCCCUGGCUCUCAUCCUCCAAGUAACGGAGCACUCGCUCUUGCUCCUCUCCCGAGCGGUUCAUAAAAUCAUUCCAGACCUGAAAGACAGGGAUGCAGGCCUGGCACACAGGAGCCCAUCUGUAAACCACUCGCUCACAUGUGUGCAGCACGAGCUGGAUGCUGGAGCUGGGGUUUCAAAGGGUGCAUAGGAGCUCAGCAGGCACGACCCACUCCCACGCCAUGGAAGCCCCAGUGAUA